rnacentral:rRNA from 1 species
AGAGUUUGAUCCUGGCUUAGGAUGAACGCUAGCGGCAGGCUUAACACAUGCAAGUCGAGGGGCAUCGGGAGUAGCAAUACUUGCCGGCGACCGGCGCAAGGGUGCGUAACGCGUGAGCAACAUGCCCGUAUCAGGGGGAUAAUCCAUGGAAACGUGGUCUAAUACCCCAUAGUAAUUAUGUAAGGCAUCUUAUAUAAUUUAAAGCUUUGGUGGAUACGGAUUGGCUCGCGUGACAUUAGCUAGAUGGUAAGGUAACGGCUUACCAUGGCUACGAUGUCUAGGGGUUCUGAGAGGAAGGCCCCCACACUGGAACUGAGACACGGUCCAGACUCCUACGGGAGGCAGCAGUGAGGAAUAUUGGACAAUGGAUGGAAAUCUGAUCCAGCCAUGCCGCGUGCAGGAAGACGGCCCUAUGGGUUGUAAACUGCUUUUGUAUGGGAGCAAUAAGGGCUACGCGUAGUCCGAUGAGAGUACCAUACGAAUAAGCACCGGCUAACUCCGUGCCAGCCGCGGC